rnacentral:lncRNA from 1 species
CAGCAGUGGAGGGCUGGGACAAGAUUCCAUGUGAGAACUCCUGACAGGGGCGAGUGUGUUCAGAGCUUGAGAACAGAUUUGCAAAACUGAAAACUGCUCAGAAUCUCAGCUUCAGAUCCUGGCAGGACUGAAUUAGCCUCUCUCCCGCUCUCUCUUUUUAAUUUGGAAAGUUAAACUUAGUCUCGAGUGUUUUGUCUGAGGACGGUGUGUGGGCGCAGGGGUCUAUAUCACUCAGAUGGAAGCUUGCAUCUGCCUCAAGCCUGUAUGUAUAUUAAGACAGCCCUGGAAUUUUAUAUGUGCUCAAAGCCCUAAAAUAUCUCAUAGACAUUAAGAGACUCAGAGGGCUGAAAAGAUUGAAUAUCCAGCGUAAGGGCUCAGGGGUUGGCUCAGCUGGUGAUGUGCUCAUCUGAGUACAAUCUCCAGAAUCCACAGAAAAAGCCGGAACCCAGGAGCGGGCAUGUGGGCCAUCCCAGAGCUAGUGACGCAGAGACAGUCAGAUGCCUGGGGCCCCAGACCCUGUCUCAGACAAACAAAAGCUGAGCAGCUCCCAAGAGGAACGGCAGCGGUGCAGAGGCGGCAUGUACCUAAUACAUGCAAACAGGUGCAAUGAAAAACUGUCAGAAAAGCAAUACGUUAGGACGUCAACACACACCAGGUUUCAGGGCUGAGGUCGCCUAUAUAAGAGCCUUGAAUCUCCAUUCCAUUUUUCUUUAAUUCUUGUUAUUGUCAUCAUCAUUAUUAUUUUACAUUGUACUUAGGGUGUGUGGGGUGUUUGUGUGUGAGAGAGAGAGGGAGAGGGAGAGGGAGAGGGAGAGGGAGAGGGAGAGGGAGAGGGAGAGGGAGAGGGAGAGGGAAAGAGGAGGGAAAGAUAUGGGGCCACACAUGGUCCCACACACGUGUGGAGGGCAGCAGACAACUCGUGGGACCAAAUUCUCUCCUUCCACCAUGGAGUUGCAGAGUGGGAUUCUGCUCAGCAGCCUCGGCCGCAGGUGCUUUUAGUGGCAAGCCCACACAUCAGAUCACCAAGUUGCUUUUAGGUUAAAAGAUAAAAAAGGCUUUAUCAGGGUUAGGAAUGUGACCUUGAGUUCCCUCAGUUCACAAAGCACAAGACCAGAAUAUGGCUUUCCCAUAUGCCUCAGUCUGGACAGGGUCUUUGUGGGUUUUACACUGGGUUUUAGACUCUGGUUCUAGUUAUCAAGUUUGCAGCACUUGCUUUCUGAAGAGGCAGAGAGAAUCAUCUGGAGAUUGGCUCUGGGUUUCCAGGUUCUAUAGAUGUCACAGGGCACUUGGCCACCCCUUUCCUCCUUGGUCCAAGACCCUCACACUUUGACUUCGGGUGGCUCCACAGCCACCCCCCCCUCCCCUGCCCCACCUUUCACAUGAAAGCCACAGCCAACGCAUUGGAGCACCUAUUUUUGGUAAAUGCCAUGGUUUCCCACAUCACUGAGCAACCGUGAAGAGUUCUCUCUAAAUAUUUGAAUCAUUUCAUCUGUAGUCAAGGACACUCUCUCAAAAUGAACAUUCUAGAGCCAACUCAUUUGACUGAGCAGCUGGGUUCAAACCCCAGAGAGGCGGGAAUGCCAUAGUUUAUCGAGCUCAUUUGUAUCUCAAUUCUUACCGAGUGCUCUCACUUUGAGGAAACCACAAAGAUGUCACUGGAGAAGUCUCAGCUUUAGGGGUGGAGCUGAUCUGGGGGUGUUGGGUCUUUUCAUAGUCAAUGACCAUAUAAAACCCAACAUAAAAAUGGUAUUAAAAAGUGCUUUUUGAGUGAACAUUUUGUUUUUCGUGUUGAAUCAUGGCAAUUUGGAAAGAAUGAAUAAAUACCACAUGACAUCAUGAAAAGAAAAAAAAAUUACCAACCAGAGGGAUCAGUAAUAGCUGGGGCCUGGCUCUGCUGUGCUAUUGGAUUCUAGUUUCCUUGGGUUGGGCAAAUUAUGUACUGAUGGUAUCAAGUCCUUCUUGACAAAGUAAGAAACAGGUUUAGACCAGAGCUUCUCAAGUGUGUGCCUUAGGUCUGUGAAAUUGUCUGAGACAAAAACCAAUUUUGUGAUAAAGAAAAUCAGGAGCCACAGUUCAUGUCUGUGUAUUAAUGUCUGUGAAGGGAUGUGAUCAGAGAUCCUACCUAACCUGAGGGCAGUGUCUUCCUACUGUCCUCCUGUGGUCCAUGCACCUUAUUGUCCCUUAGGAACAGAGACCUCAAAUGAUCUGUGUGGCCCUUUCCCUCCACACUUUGGUAAUCUAUUUACUUUUUUUGUGUUUUUGUUGUGGGAGUUUUCUUUGUCGAUGUUUGUGACUUCUCAGACAAAGAUGAACAGGACAUGGAUGAAUCCCGCACCCCAAGGAUUCACCGGAUGAGUCAGCCGCCGCUCUACCUCAUCUGAAGGGGAUGUCUAUUGCCCGUCACAUCUGGAAGCAACAGAAGGCGGCUACAAUCUAACUUCCCAGAGCUCUCAGGAUGAAAGGAGGGUAUGAGGGAGAGGCUGAAGAUGUGUUAGCCCCGCAGUCGCUGAAGUUCACCUGGCGCUAUCAGUGUGGAAAGAACAACCUGCCUGUGGCCCAGGAAGGCGUGCUACUGGUGUACACAGCGAACAAAACAAAACAAAAUAAGGACUUGCACUCUGUGUGCAGACAGAGAUGGGGGAGGGCAGGGAUAAGGUGGGGAGUGCUGUCUAUCUCUAAAGGCUUCUCCCAGGAAGUGUGUUGUUAGCUGGACAUCAAGGUGGAGCUGCUGCAGGCUGACAGAGGAGCUUGUGGGCAGGCAGGGUGGGUGGGAGACUGACUAUAUACAUCUCCAUCUGGAGGACAAGGCAGAGAGGAGGUGUGACUACAGAGGGUGGUGAUCAGGGAAGGGGGAUGGGACCAGCUCCUGGGCAGAGAGCUCGGAGCUGGGACUGUAUUCUGUUUGACUAUCUGCAGUAGGCAAAAGGUACAGCCAAAUGCCACUCAACACUAGCUGCGGGGAGCACAAGGUGGUGUUCUUGCUGGUGUGAGAUGAGGUGCGGUUGGAGCUCACACAGGAACAACAGCCUUUGCAAGAAGUGAAUGUGCUCUUAACCUCUGAGCCAUUUCUCCAGCCCACGCCUGCUUCCUCUAGGAUAUCUCUGGCCCGACAUUUUUUAACGUUGUAAAGACCCAGGAGAAGUGUCAGAUGAAAUGCUGUUUGGAGACA